rnacentral:misc_RNA from 1 species
ACGUGUUCUUCAGGCCGCCGGGUCGGCCCUGCACCGGCGGAGACGCCGUGAUGCGGGCUCCCGACGCGCCUUCCACACCAAACCCCUGUGAACCUUUGGGAGGGCUCGAGAGGGCCGUCCCCUUUACAAACUCUUGUCAUUUUUAGAAUGAACGCGGACUCUGUUCGCCUAAACAUGUAA